GUGAGGAAUAUUGGUCAAUGGGCGGGAGCCUGAACCAGCCAAGUCGCGUGAAGGAAGAAGGAUCUAUGGUUCGUAAACUUCUUUUGCAGGGGAAUAAAGUGCAGGACGUGUCCUGUUUUGUAUGUACCCUGAGAAUAAGGAUCGGCUAACUCCGUGCCAGCAGCCGCGGUAAUACGGAGGAUCCGAGCGUUAUCCGGAUUUAUUGGGUUUAAAGGGUGCGUAGGUGGUUUGAUAAGUCAGCGGUGAAAGUUUGCAGCUUAACUGUAAAAAUGCCGUUGAAACUGUCGGACUUGAGUGUAAAUGAGGUAGGCGGAAUGCGUGGUGUAGCGGUGAAAUGCAUAGAUAUCACGCAGAACUCCGAUUGCGAAGGCAGCUUACUAAGCUACAACUGACACUGAAGCACGAAAGCGUGGGGAUCAAACAGGAUUAGAAACCCUGUAGUCC
rnacentral:rRNA from 1 species